rnacentral:rRNA from 1 species
UACGGAGGGAGCUAGCGUUGUUCGGAAUUACUGGGCGUAAAGCGCACGUAGGCGGCUACUCAAGUCAGAGGUGAAAGCCCGGGGCUCAACCCCGGAACUGCCUUUGAAACUAGGUAGCUAGAAUCUUGGAGAGGUCAGUGGAAUUCCGAGUGUAGAGGUGAAAUUCGUAGAUAUUCGGAAGAACACCAGUGGCGAAGGCGACUGACUGGACAAGUAUUGACGCUGAGGUGCGAAAGCGUGGGGAGCAAACGGG